rnacentral:rRNA from 1 species
AAGUCGUAACAAGGUUUCCGUAGGUGAACCUGCGGAAGGAUCAUUACCGAGAGACAGGGUCCAAUCGGCCCCAACUCUUCACCCGUGUCUACGUACCUGUGUUGCUUUGGCGGGCCUCCGGCCUGUUCUGGGGGGUGCUCUGCUCCUCUGUGCCCGCCAACGGCCCCAUCCAACUCUGUUAUCAGUGUCGUCCGAGUACCAAAACAAUUAUUAAAACUUUCAACAACGGAUCUCUUGGUUCUGGCAUCGAUGAAGAACGCAGCGAAAUGCGAUAAGUAAUAUGAAUUGCAGAAUUCCGUGAAUCAUCGAAUCUUUGAACGCACAUUGCGCCCUUUGGUAUUCCGAGGGGCAUGCCUGUUCGAGCGUCAUUGCAACCCUCAAGCACCGCUUGGUAUUGGGCUUUCGUCCCCGCGACGGGCCUGGAACACCGUGGCGGUCCAGCGAGACUUCAAGCGUAGCAAGAUUUUUAUCCCGCUUUGGAAGUUUCUCGCUGCGAGCCAGCCAAAACAACACCUUUCAUUUUCAAUGGUUGACCUCGGAUCAGGUAGGGAUACCCGCUGAACUUAA